UGGUCAGAACAUGCCAACCGAUGUUAGGAUAUUUUCUCAUUUCUGCAGUGUACUCAAAGAUUAAUAACCCAUCGGGGGCUACAGAACAUACACAUAUCAAACCCACGCUAACUGCAGCCAAUGUCCACCAUACUGAGAGCCCCUUUUGCCUCCCAGGUAGCAGGGAGGCUUGGAGAACUGGGCCAAGAGUUCUGGAGAGCUAUGUGCAGCCGGGAGCAGCCCUUGGCAUGCCUGCUACAUGCUGCUGUGCUUGGUGACACGGAUGCAUUACUCACCACCAGACAUAGGAAGGCUUAACAUAUACAGGGUAGCCAGGGCCAAAUUGGUUCCACAGGACUAAGGAGUGCUGUUUCGGGCUUCCCAUCUAAUUCCUGGGUCUCUUCCUGUCUUGGCCACAAAAUACAGAGGAUGCAAUACUCACUGAAGUAUCAAAUGAGCUAUCUGGAUCAAAACCCACCUUUUAUAGCUAUUUCCAAGGAUCUGAAGUUGACUAAUUGCUGUGACCCAUUUGACCCAUGGUGGGUCCUAAGAGGAUGCUGGCAGAAGAUUAAGAAAAGACAUAUAGAAAAAGGAAGGCUGGGAACACAUGGGACAUAGUUCUCUGAUGGAGACGCAGCAACAACCCAGUGUAGUUUGCAUAUUUAUGUGCAGUAAAAAGGGGAGAAACAUAUGAUGGGGUCCAAAGUGCAAAAUCUCAGUGUUUUGCUGAGAUCCCUGUUAUGCUGUAGUUCACAGAGAGGAAUACCAAGGCUGGACGCCUGCUGAUAUAACUUCUGGAACUUACAUUCUCAGAGUUAUCUAUUACUGCAUGCUUUUUGACGGAGAUGUCUGAGCACUGAGAAGAUAAGGCAUACCGAAGCUGCUGGCACUGAGAUUACCGUCAGUCAGCUGGCAUCUCCCUGCUUCUGGUCUGGACAUGUCUUACCUUCUCAUUUAUCCCCUGUGAUUAUGGCAGAAUAACACAACAAAGAAUUGUGUACUGUGAGUCACAGUAAGUAAAAAUGGAGCAUAAAUACUUUUCAUCUGCCAAGUAAGUAUUUUUAUUCCAUGAGCAUCGUGGUUUUUGUAUUUAAAAUGACAGAUCCUGUCACCAAAGGUCUUAAUAUUAUAUUGAAAAGAUAUCUGUAUUACAGCAGAGGUUAAAAAACUCAUUUAUUUAUAAGACUCUCAGGUCCUGGAGAGGUCUUCUGCCUCUUUCUCCCUGCAGACAGUUAAUAUCAUUGAAAAUAAAAAGUUGUUAUAUUAUAUGACAAGGCAUAGUGCUAUUAAAAAAAAACACAGGCUGGCCAGUGCCAGAAAUGUGCUCCAAUGCUGGUAAGCCCAUGGCUCUAAUUGGAAAAAGUAAGUAUUUUGCUUUUUUGUGAUUCUUUUUUUCUUGUGUUUCUGUUUUUCUCCCAUCCAGUUAAUUUGCAUUUUAGCAUGCAGCUUUGAUACAGUAAAAAGUCAUAAAACAAGUUGUAGGAAACACUUCGGACUUUAUUUUGGGGUUUCCAAUUCAAGAAAAAAUAAAACUACCCAAGGAGCAGAUGAAGGAGGAGAACUGAUGCUGGAGCCAGCUGGAGGGAUGGCAUUUCUUACCGAGGCUACAGAGAAGCUUGCAACCUUAGAAAGGCAAGAGACAGUAAACCAAAGGAGCUGGCUAAAUUGAAAAGGGAGGGUCAUUCACUCCCCUGCAGCUGGAGUGGCCUUUCAUUGCCUUCAUGCCUGAAGCUUUGGAACUUAGCUAAAAGAGUGAGGGGUCUCAGUGACUGACACUUAACACCUGCUGUACACAGGAUAGGUCACUGUGAUGCAGAGGCACUUUCACCUCCCAUCAGACACCCACUGGGAGUUCCUC